rnacentral:rRNA from 1 species
AUACGGAGGAUGCAAGCGUUAUCCGGAUUUAUUGGGUUUAAAGGGUGCGUAGGCUGUUCAGAAAGUCAGGGGUGAAAGCCCGGCGCCUAACGCCGGAACUGCCUUUGAUACUUCCGAGCUGGAAUACGGAUGCCGUGGGAGGAAUGAGUAGUGUAGCGGUGAAAUGCAUAGAUAUUACUCAGAACACCGAUUGCGAAGGCAUCUCACGAAUCCGUCAUUGACGCUGAGGCACGAAAGCGUGGGGAUCAAACAGGAUUAGAUACCCUGGUAGUCCACGCAGUAAACGAUGAUGACUAACCGUCGGCGAUACACAGUCGGUGGCCAAGCGAAAGCGAUAAGUCAUCCACCUGGGGAGUACGUUCGCAAGAAUGAAACUCAAAGGAAUUGACGGGG